rnacentral:rRNA from 1 species
ACUGCUCAGUAACACGUGGCUAAUCUGCCCUUGGGACAAGAACACCCCCGGGAAACUGGGGCUAAUUCUCGAUAGGUGAAGAACUCUGGAAUGAGUCUUUGCUUAAAAGAGGCUGGGGUUAUGCUCUCCAGUUUCGCCCAAGGAUGAGGCCGCGACCGAUCAGGUUGUUGGUGAGGUAAUGGCUCACCAAGCCUUUUACCGGUGCGGGCCGUGAGAGCGGGAGCCCGGAGAUGGGCACUGAGACAAGGGCCCAGGCCCUACGGGGCGCAGCAGUCGCGAAAACUUUGCAAUAAGCGAAAGCUUGACAGGGCUAUCCCGAGUGCCAUCCGCUGAGGAAGGCUUUUACCCAGUCUAGAACGCUGGGGGAAUAAGGAGAGGGCAAGUCUGGUGUCAGCCGCCGCGGUAAUACCAGCUCUCCGAGUGGUGUGGAUGUUUAUUGGGCCUAAAGCAUCCGUAGCUGGCCAGGUUAGUCCCCUGUUAAAUCCACCGAAUUAAUCGUUGGAUUGCGGGGGAUACUGCUUGGCUAGGGGACGAGAGAGGCAGACGGUAUUUCCGGGGUAGGGGUGAAAUCCUAUAAUCCCGGGAAGACCACCAGUGGCGAAGGCUGUCUGCUAGAACGCGCCCGACGGUGAGGGAUGAAAGCUGGGGGAGCGAACCGGAUUAGAUACCCGGGUAGUCCCAGCUGUAAACGAUGCAGACUAGGUGUUUGGACGGCCACGUGCCGUUCUAGUGCCGUAGGGAAGCUGUUAAGUCUGCCGCCUGGGAGUACGAUCGCAAGAUUGAAACUUAAAGGAAUUGGCGGGGGAGCA